UUACACUGUCGUAUUUACAUUUCACUGUAGUAUUUACACUGUCAGUAGUAAUUACACUGUAGUUUCUCAUGACAAGACAUCUCAACCAAGAUCCUCUAGAGAACUUCUUUGGCCUCAUUAGGCAGCAGGGAAAUUGUGACAACACAGUCUCAUACAAUUCACCAGAGCAUUUUGCAAAUUAUUUGUAGACAAUAUUUUGACACCACUUUCAAUUGGCAGCUGUGCUGAAGAUUCUGAUGCCUAUUUGAUUGCAUUUCACCCUAGCCAAUCUCUGAUUUAUCUGCAGGAAAUGAUCAGACAAGCCCACCACUAAUCCAAGCAGUUGAAGAUACUGACUACAAAACAAAUGAAAUUGAACAAAACUUUAGUCUGCAUGAACUUAUGUGUCAGGCUAUUUAUUAAGGAAGUGGC